GACACGUCCAGGGUUCCUCCGCCAAGGUCCACCACUAGCACGCUGAAGACAUCCACCUUGUGAAGGCCGUACGCCAUGGCGGCCGCCGUCGGCUCGUUGAUCACACGCAGGAUCUCCAAGCCUGUGAAUCAGUUAUCAUGCACCGAGAUGACGGCUUUGUGGACGGGCACGCCAAGUUGCCGCUCGGCCAUCUUCCUCAUCUUCAGCAGCAGCCUGGAGCCAAUAAACUCCGGAGUCACCGUGAACGUGACGUUGGUGGUGAUCACAAACUCAGCACUCCCGUUGUUGGAGAUCACCUGGAAAAACCAUGUAUCCAGCCCACCUUGAAAGGAUAGCGGCUGCUCUCCUGCUCGAGCGAAUGCGGAGCAAAGAUCUUCCCGAUGAACCGCUUAGCGUCGUAAAUGGUGUUCCGGGGGUUCUUGUCGGCCACAUCCACAGCGUCGUGCCCAGCCAGCACCGUCGUGUUGGUGAAGGAGAUGGUACUCGGGAUGCUCCUCCUGUCCUCCUCGUCUGCUAUCACCUCCACCUCUCCGCUACCCGGGUGGAACACGCCCACGGAGCAAAAGGUGGUGCCCAGGUCCAGACCGAUCACUUUGGGCUUGGGUGGGGGAAACUAAGGUUGUUGCUGAUGGAAUAUAUUGCUUUUGAGCUGUCAGGAGAGCUUCUGCAUUGGUUUGAAUGAUGAGGUGAUUUCCCUCCUUUGCUGUCCCCUCUGUGCUUCGUCCUCUUCAUCACUACAAAAAAAGAGAGAGUUUUGAAGAAAAAAGUAGCAUCAAUCACCUAUUUGCCAGAUGAAAAUGGCGUCCAUCGAGCCAUUUUCACUUAUUAUCCUGUGCACUUCAGAAUUUUUUUUCUAUUUGUAUAUGCAGUAAUAGAUCAUUAUUCCACAUUGCAGAGUUCUACACAGUUUUGAUUAAAUGUCUCCUAAAGGGAAGGACGGGGGAGAGGAGCCCCCUGCGGAGAGCCCAAAUGAACAUUGACCUAUAGUUCAGCUUAACUGAUUUAUUCCCUAUUUACCUUCAUUGUGGUUGUUGGCAAUGUGGACUAAAUCUUCUGGGCUCUUGGCAGCCUUCCAAAGCGCCACAUUAUGAACAGCGUUAUCUGUUUAGCAGGGUGAACAAGUCACAAAUGUGGAGGAAAGUCAGGGUGAACUGAGCACGGUCAAAAGUGGAAAGUCUGCAGAGUAGGUCAUUUCUGGGUUUAAUCUGAAUACAGCGGAACCUCUACAACAAAGUACUCCUGCUGCACUGUUUUUAUGUUUUAAGUGGUUAACUUAUUUUUGCACUCGUGUAACUAGUACACACCUUUGCAAUUUGCCAUUGGAUGUGUCUUACUGUUUUAACAUCUUUAAUAUGAAGAGUGUUUAUCUUGUUUAUACACUUGGAAGACUGUUAAAAAUGUGACUAAUAUUUUGCCUGUACAGCUUCGACAGGUUUUAUGAUGGUGACAGUUUAACCAUUGGAAUUGAUGAUUUCUUUUUUUCCAUGAUUUCUUGUUAGAAAAUUGUCCAACCUGAGAGGUUCCACAGUAUUUAUGUUUUUAAAAUGUAUUUCAGAUUAAAACAACAGUAACAACACCAUUUUACCUCAGUAAAAAAGUGAACUGAUUGAACUCACCCAGCGUUUCAUUGUCUGAUGCGGAUUUGGAUACUUGUGUUCUGAAAGUAUAGUUAACAGACAAAUCAAUUACCAAGAUUAUUGUUAUUUAUUUUAUUUUUGUAUAUACUGGUAUUCAUUUAAAAUUAUGGUGUGUAAAUUCAACUGCAUAUUUAUUAGAUGGUCUUAAAAAAUCCAGAAAGGAGUGGUUCUUAGAAAUAAAGGCACCGGUAUAUUGGAGAGUCUAGGGACUAAAUAGGUGGGCUUUCAAUCCGCUUAGUUCAACUACCCCAAAGCCAUAAUCCCCUUGAUCUAUAUUCUGUAUUACCCUGACCAUGAAAAACUAAGUCUUUACAACUUGCAAUGUAUAACUUUCAAUGAAGCUGUCAGUGUGCCUCCUGUAGGCCUCUUGCAGACAAGAUGAGGGAAGGAUGUGGUGUGAUAGGGUUGCUUAUUAAGAAGCUGUCUGCUGUGCUGCGGGGUUUACAGUAUUAGCGUCCCGAGAACAUAAACAUAGAGCCUUCAAGCCUUGUGGGAAACCCUUUUGGCUUGCACGUUGGCACGCACAUUCCACAAUGAAGAGCACGUAGGCACGAGCCUGCAUGCUAGGCUGGAUUAUUAUGUACCGUAUUUUCACGACCAUAAGGCGCACUUAAAAGUCUUACAUUUUCUCCAAAAUGGACAGGGCGCCUUAUAAUGCGGCGUGCCUUAUGUGUGCACCGAGUUCCAAAAUCUGUAAAUGUUGUUGUGUGACUUUGAUGAAUUUCCUGCCAACACGCUGCUUAUAUAGAGGAAAGGCGGACGUGACUGAGUACAGCAUGCGGACGUUAAAGGGGGAAGGGUGCGCGUGACAGAGGACGCUAAAGGCACGCCCCCAGUAGGUAUAUAGCGCCGGGGUGUGCGUUGUGCAAAACAACAUCGGUUUGGCUAAGGACCCCGAAAACGGCACCUACGAAGAGACACACUUACGAAGCACAGUUUAAACUGCAAGCUAUCAGUUACACGGAGGAACAUGGGAAUCGAGCAGCCGCGAGAGAAUUCAAGAUCAACGAACCCAUGGUUCGCAAGUGGAGGAAGCAGGAAAACGAGCUUCGUCAAGUCAAGAAGACGAAGCCGAGUUUCCGCGGAAACAAGGCGAGGUGGCCCGAGUUGGAAGACCAACUCGAGCAAUGGAUUAUUGAGCAAAGAACAGCCAGGAGAAGCGUCUCUACAGUCACCAUUCGACUGAGUGCAAUAACUCGGAGCUUGCCAUCAUUCUCCAACCACUGGACAUCGGUGUAAACAGGGCGUUCAAAGUGAAGUUGCGAGCGGCGUGGGAGCGAUGGAUGACAUAUGGCGAACACAGCUUUACUAAGACUAGGAGGCAGCGCCGGGCGAGUUACGCCACAAUUUGUGAAUGGAUUGUGGAUGCUCGGGCUAACGUCUGCUUGCACUGUUGUUUGAGCUUUCGUAAAAGCCGGCAUCAUUUCUGAGGAGCCGCAUGGCAACGAGACUGACUCCGACAAUGACGAGAGGGAACCUGGCGUCUUUGAUGGAGAACUUGCCCAGCUGUUCAUUUCGGAUACAGAAGAUGAGGACUUUGAUGGAUUUGUGGAUGAGGAUUGGUCAAAAAAUAACAUUAGUACAUUGUUAAAUACUUCAAUAAAGUACAACCAAACUCAGUUUUGCUCCCGCUGCCUUUUUAGCGUGCAUGCUACCGUAUGUUUUAAGCUAGCAUAUGUUUUACCAUGCCUGCACCCAAUAAUACGGUGCGCCUUAUGUAUGUGUUAAAUACAGAAAUAGACCCCGUAACUGAGACUGCGCCUUUUAAUGCGGUGCGCCUUGUGGUCUUGAAAAUACGGUAUUUCUAAUACAAUUCAGCCUGUGUCAUAUAACACAAAUAUGACAUUGAUAUUUGCCUUUGAGAGCGAAAUUGAAUAUGUUUUGGUACCAUAUAUGUAUAGGAAGCUUACCUUAUUUUCUUUUUAUGAGCGUUGGUGCCUGGCCUCAUUGUCAUUUCCUGAUGUAAAAUACGAAAUUGUUAAUGUUACUUUAUGUCACAAAUUGCGAGGAUAUACUCAAGCAGUCAUGGAAAUACUAAAUAAAAUAAAAUAUCAAAUAAAGAUUACAGAUUAUAUUACAAAGAUCGUUUUGUUUUGACAAAACAGAAAACAAUAGGAUAGUUAGUAGUACAGUAUGCAGGAUUAUACAAAAAUUACAAAACACAUUUUUCAUUAAAAACAAAUUGUCUGAUGAUGCGCUUGCUAUCGGUUUGGCCCAGAAUGAGAUGGCUCGAGGGAACGUCGCCAUUGUAAAAUCUGAAAAUGGCCUGGUUAAACAUGACAUUUUCAACUCAUAAGACUAACAUAUGGGCAUUUUUCAACCAGAAAGUCAAAGAUUUGUCAUAAAUUUCCAAAUGAUUUACAGUGCAUUGAUUGAUUGAUUUACAUUUAUUUCUGGACAAGUAAAUUUGACUGUCCAACCUAACCCCGGAAUCAUGAUGAUACCGCCUGUCUGUUUGUCAUCCUCCAUGAACCAGGAAGUACCCUGCAUUUGACAUUGAAUUGAUAAUGCAUAUGAUCAUUUGUAAAACUAACUCUAAUUGUGGUCUAAGGUUUUUGCACAGUGCUCUAAAUUUCAUGAAUCAAAUUCAGUAAUCAUGUGGAUCUAUGGACUCAUAACACAUGGAUGUUUCCAAAUAUGGUUCCUUCCCCAAUAAAGGGUAUGAGGGUAUAAGUCAUCUGGGCUGUUUUCACUGUGAUGGUUUCAUAAUCAGCCUUGUUUUAUAUGAUUCAAUCUGAUGAGCAGCUGCUUCCUCAUCAAUUGCUCUGAGAGGUGCUUUGCUCCCUUCCCUUUUUUGGCAAACCGUGCGGGAACCCUUGCGGGCUCGUAUGCAGAAAUUUCCAAAUUCCACCAGCACUUGAGCACCUCUCACCAUAGAAAUAGACCUUCCGGAACCCCUCCA